UCGUGUGUCAUCAUGGAAGCGAAACUGCGUGGUUCAAUGCUGUUGUUUGUUUAUUGAAAACCGGCUGUUAGAUUGCUGGAAACUUUAUAAUCAUGUGAAGAUGAUAUGUGAUGCUGAUCGCAUUGCCACAAACCUUGUAGCCAAAUGGCCGGGAAGUGUUCACGACAGUCGAAUAUUCAAGGUGUCGUCCAUUGGCCGAGAACUUGCUAACCAAGCUCCACAUGAUGGAUUCCUUUUGGGCGACAAAGGUUAUGCACUUGAACCGUACCUGAUGACACCUUAUCGGAAUCCAACACCUGAAGAAGCCAGAUACAAUGCCGCCCAAGCACGAACCAGGACACGAGUUGAGCAGGCCUUUGGCAUUUUAAAGAGGCGGUUCCAUUGCUUGCACGAUGAAAUUCGGCUGGUCCCAGAACAGGCCUGUAAAGUGAUAGUCUGCUGUGUAAUCCUCAACAACAUUGCACUGAAGCGGCAGGAUGUGAUGGAGCCACUUUUGGAGAAUCAAUAUAACCUUGAUCCC